UUUUUUGUUCUUUUUUUCAGAUCCCCUAAAAACAACUAAUUUUAUUUUAAAAUCCUAGUUCAGCUAUACAGAUAAAUGUUGGUAGAUGAGAGAGAUGAGCGAAAUCACAAUGUCAAACUAGCUUAGGAUCUGAAUUGAAGUAAGGAACGUGCCACUCUGUCUUUGAUACGUACUUCUAUAACACAACCGUCACUACUGUACCACUUAUAGUACAGGACAUUAUCUGUUUCAUCGGAUAGGCGGCAUCUGCGUCUCUCCAUAGUUUUUAAAACAUACAAAGAGUUAGCGGUGAUCAGGGAUUUUGGAACGGUACGCAUGCAAACGCUGAGCGAUGGUAAUUUCGUUUGCCAAUUGAGGUACGUGCUUUCUAUGGUGAACGCAACC